GUAGCUGGUCUGAGAGGAUGGCCAGCCACACUGGAACUGAGACACGGUCCAGACUCCUACGGGAGGCAGCAGUGGGGAAUAUUGGACAAUGGGGGCAACCCUGAUCCAGCAAUGCCGCGUGUGUGAAGAAGGCCUGAGGGUUGUAAAGCACUUUCAGUGGGGAGGAGGAUUGAUAGGUUAAGAGCUAAUUAAUUGGACGUUACCCACAGAAGAAGCACCGGCUAACUCCGUGCCAGCAGCCGCGGUAAUACGGAGGGUGCGAGCGUUAAUCGGAAUUACUGGGCGUAAAGGGUGCGUAGGUGGUUUAUUAAGUUAUCUGUGAAAUCCCUGGGCUUAACCUGGGCAGGUCAGAUGAGACUGGURGACUCGAGUAUGG
rnacentral:rRNA from 1 species